AUUGAACGCUGGCGGCAGGCCUAACACAUGCAAGUCGAGCGGGGUUUUCGGACCUAGCGGCGGACGGGUGAGUAGUGCGUAGGAAGCUGCCCGAUAGAGGGGGAUACCAGUUGGAAACGACUGUUAAUACCGCAUAAUGUCUACGGACCAAAGUGUGGGACCUUCGGGCCACAUGCUAUCGGAUGCGCCUACGUGGGAUUAGCUAGUUGGUGGGGUAAUGGCUCACCAAGGCGACGAUCCCUAGCUGGCGUGAGAGGAUGAUCAGCCACACUGGCACUGAGACACGGACCAGACUCCUACGGGAGGCAGCAGUGGGGAAUAUUGGACAAUGGGCGCAAGCCUGAUCCAGCCAUGCCGCGUGUGUGAAGAAGGCCUUCGUGUUGUAAAGCACUUUCAGUAGGGAGGAAUGGUGUUGUGUUAAUAGCACAGCAUUUUGACGUUACCUACAGAAGAAGCACCGGCUAACUCUGUGCCAGCCGCCGCCGUAAUAC
rnacentral:rRNA from 1 species